rnacentral:ribozyme from 1 species
UGGACGCCGACGGUAGGGAUUUACAAGUUUGGAAGGAAAGUGGAUGAAAUCGAACAGUGUAAAAUCAGGCAGCUGAAAGACCGGGUGUGGUUAUGGAGCGAUUUGAAAGAGACUCGA